rnacentral:lncRNA from 12 species
GCCAUCUCAACCCCAAAGCUAAUCGGUGCCAAUAUCAGUGCAAUCAUUCAUUUAGCUUUCUCUCCUGCUCAGUCACAAGGUCAUUCCAAAGAGCAGGUGAGCAAAGGCUUUGUGGUAUAGAAGGGAUUCCAGGCUCACUCCUUCCUAGAAAGUCAGCAUUUCUCUCUUUGAAUCUCCCUUUUUAUUUGGGGUUUCAGGAUGAAAGAUUCAGGAACUGAAAUCGUCCCCCUUCUACAUUUUGAGAUUAAGAUUCCAGAGGUAUCCAUAAUGGGGAAAAAGUCAUGAAGAAAAGUAAAGCCAUUCUAAUCACCAGAUACUUAGAUAUGGUCAAAGGCGAUAGGGAUUGCAAGAAUGGAAGCCAGCAUACUUAUGACCAUAAGGAUGACAGAUGCUCACUGGGGCGACUGAGCAGAAGCACAGGCACCUGGCAUCUGCUGGUAUCUUGGGGCUACUGCACUAUUCCUCAUCAGAGGAGUCCUCUGGACUGCUUUUUUGCACAAAAGUAACCGCCCAACUGCUUUUGUGAAUUUUUCUGUUGAAGCCAAAAGCAAUUCUCACUGAUAGGCUGGUAAUUUUUAAUUUUAAGACACAUAUGGAGAGAAAUGAAAAGUAGUAACCAGUAUAGUGAAUUCACCAUGAUUUCCUCUGAAGAAUGCACAGGAAUAUCACACUGGUGGCUAGGAUUCUCCAUGGAUCUGAACACCCUCAGGGGAGUGAGAAAGACUGCUUCCUCCUGGGAUUAAAGAGGCAAAUUGAAUGUAGACCUCCCAAAUCUCCUCCAGGAUGAGAUGAUCUAUAAAACACCGGAGAGAAUCCAAGUAGACACAUGUGGAAUGAAACCUUGAGCUUAAUCCUUGCUUACCAUCUGUGGGAAAACUUCAGGAAGAUGGUCAAACCUGUCUCAUGGCAGUUUCAUAUAUUUUCAUGCUAAGCGUGCAGGAGACACUCCACAAAAUUUUGUGAGGUGAGUGGAAUUCAGAAGUCUCUUUAGAAUUAUCCAGACACUUUGGCAAAUCAUAGGUGUGUGUGUGUAUGUGUGUAUUAUAUAUAUCAAAGACCAGGACACUGAAGGCUCAAGGAUAUCCGAUUAUUGAAAAACAUAAACCCAAGCUUUAUCUGACAGAGGUCAAGUGCUGUGCCUAUUUGAUGGGUUGAGCACUGGGUGUUAUACUAUAUGUUGGCAAAUUGAAUUUAAAUAAAAAUAAUAAUAAAAAUUUUAAAAUGCUGUGC